GCCUCUGUAGCUUAAUGGAUAAAGCAACAGUCUUCGGAACUGUUGAUGAGGGUUCGAUUCCUUCCAGAGGCA
rnacentral:tRNA from 1 species